rnacentral:lncRNA from 1 species
UUGCAAGAAGGUUGCUUUGCUAAGGUGUUGUGCACAUCAAGGAUUUGGUGUCCUUGGGAAAACAAGAGUUGUUAGCAUUCUCUACCAAAAAUAGUAUCUUGGACAACUUGUCAAUUGAAGGCUACAAGGGAAAAAAGAUUUAGUGAUAAAUAGAGAGCUCUAAAGAAGCAACUAGAUGACAUUAAGUAAAAAGAAAAGUCAGUUGAUCUUAU